rnacentral:misc_RNA from 1 species
AAGUCGUAACAAGGUUUCCGUAGGUGAACCUGCGGAAGGAUCAUUAACACGUAUCCACGUAUCAACCAACUGUGAAUUUGUUUUCAACCACUUAUAUCACCCCCUUUUUGCUAGUUGACUUUUAUAUGUUGUCUCAUUUUCUCGUGUACUUUAUUGUAUCGGGGAAUGAUUCACACGUUUAUUUAUUUGAACGUUAAAAUUACAACUCUUAGCAAUGGAUAUCUUGGUUCUC